UACGUAGGGGGCAAGCGUUGUCCGGAUUUAUUGGGCGUAAAGAGCGUGUAGGCGGCCAUUCAGGUCAGCUGUGAAAACUCGAGGCUCAACCUCGAGACGUCGGUUGAAACCGUUUGGCUAGAGUCCGGAAGAGGAGAGUGGAAUUCCCGGUGUAGCGGUGAAAUGCGCAGAUAUCGGGAAGAACACCCGUGGCGAAGGCGGCUCUCUGGGACGGUACUGACGCUGAGACGCGAAAGCGUGGGGAGCCGAACGAGG
rnacentral:rRNA from 1 species